GACGAACGCUGGCGGCGUGCUUAACACAUGCAAGUCGAACGUGAUUUUUGUGGAAAUUCUUUCGGGAAUGGACAUGAAAUGAAAGUGGCGAACGGGUGAGUAACACGUGAGCAACCUACCUUACACAGGGGGAUAGCCGUUGGAAACGACGAUUAAUACCGCAUGAGACCACAGAAUCGCAUGAUAUAGGGGUCAAAGAUUUAUCGGUGUAAGAAGGGCUCGCGUCUGAUUAGCUAGUUGGAAGGGUAAAGGCCUACCAAGGCGACGAUCAGUAGCCGGUCUGAGAGGAUGAACGGCCACAUUGGAACUGAGACACGGUCCAAACUCCUACGGGAGGCAGCAGUGGGGAAUAUUGCACAAUGGGGGGAACCCUGAUGCAGCGACGCCGCGUGAGCGAAGAAGGUUUUCGAAUCGUAAAGCUCUGUCCUAUGAGAAGAUAAUGACGGUAUCAUAGGAGGAAGCCCCGGCUAAAUACGU
rnacentral:rRNA from 1 species